UUCUUAUCCCCACUUUAUAUACUGAGCAUGAUGUCACAUGGAAUGGAGUAUCCCUUCGGUCAGCUGGAGUCACCUGUCCUUUCUGCGUCUCCUCCCAACCUCCCAUACACCCCCAGUCUCCUCACCAGCGUGGGAGGAGAGGGAGGA